CAUUUUUUUAUCUGUCAAUAUAAAUUUAAGACGAUCUCUGGUAGUUUUUUGUCUUACCAUACGCAUAAUAAUGAGGCCAAUUUGGAUAUUAAUCUUUUGUGUUAUUAGUAGCGUCAAUUGUAAAGUUUGUGAAAAAGGGUCACCAAAAGGUCAGUGUGGACUAGGACCGGGUGGUACGCAAUGCCAAUGGGGAUAUUAUUGUAGGAAUUCAGUUUGCUGCCCGAUUCACUGAAAACCGAAAUUUCAUCAGAGGUUGUGCAAACUCAGACUAGUCCCUCUAUACCAGGGAGUACCAACUCAGGUCUAGGCUCUCUAUACCAGGGAAUACAAACUCAAGCCUAUGCCCUCUAUACCAGGGAGUACCAACUCAGGCAUAGGCCCUCGAUACCAGGGAGUACCAACGAAGUAUAUGAUCUAAGUAUUUCAUCUUUUAAACAGUUAUUUUUUUAUUCUCAAUUCGACAAUAACAUUUCACCAGGUACUUCGAAAAGCAAUAUAGCUGAUAUACCUUGGACAAUUAUCAGAAACAAGCAAUGAUAAGAAUAUAGGUAUAUGUAAUUGCAUAAUGGCAAUACAAUAUGUUAACAAAAAACGAGGUGGUAUAUUGAUUUUAAUCCUUUAAAGUAUUUGCUGUCUGUAAACAUCAUCGUUUGCUAAAGAUAUCAUUCGUGUGGAUUCACUGCGGAUAUCGAUAUGUAACGAUCGUGUUAUAACAGUUUGAUAUCGUCCCUGAAUCCGAUUUUAACACAAUAUGAUCAGAAGUGUGUAACAUUAAUUAAAAAAAAAAGAUACGUUAGUUAUUUUACGGAUUUUAUGGUUUCAUUUUGUUUCAACCGCAAGGGAUAAGGUAAGGUUUCUGUCUUUAUAAUCGACAUGACUAUCAUGUUUCAAUAUUUUCAAAUACAAGUAUGCAUGUACCAACAUAUGGAUGUAACUAUGAAAACAAAUGUUUUCAAAUAAUCAUGUAUUAGUGAAAAAAUAUUUUAAUAUAUUUAUAUAUAUUUGUUAAACACUGCAAAUAAACAAGCAUUUCUCUUUCAGUAUAUACACACACGAAUAAGACGAAAUAUAAGCCGUAUUAAAAUGUAUCUAUCCAGUAACAAAGUAUAAAAAUGUUGUCGAUUUAGUAAGCUUUUGUUGUUGAUUUUAAUGGUUGACUAGUUUUGUAUUUGACAUCCUGAUAGCUUGCAAAUAUUGCAAUCCCCACCCUUCUCGUACCUGUGGAAUGGUUGUCGGAUCAAACAAUUGUCUGUAUGGUUAUCAUUGUAUUGGAGGUCCUGCUGAUGAAUAUUUUGCCUGUUGUCCAAAUGCUGCCUAACCCAACUCAAUAAUCAGCUACAUUGGUAUGUCUAAAGUACAUCGUGAUGUUGGAGAAAAGAAAUGUUAUUAUAGAUGUAAAGAUCUUAUUAACUGACUGUUUUAUCGACAACAAUGUAUUAUAUCAACCAUUACAUUGCUUAAAAAACUAGAUUUUCAAUUAGACGAAAGGAUGUGUCAGUCCUGCUUGACGUAUCAAAGUCCAGACGUUAUACCUCAGUGCAUAUAUUGUAAAGAGAACGAAAUAUAGCCAUUUACAUGACUUCUGGUUUUACAUGUUUUAUUUGAGGCUUGCAAUGAAGUGACAUUACUCGACAUAACCAAUCUAUUUGAACGUAUGUGGGCAAUUUGCAUUGAAGCAUGACGGAGGGGAUCAUAGAUUGCGUGAUUCUUUUGCUCGUUGAAUACACAUACUUUGUUGGAAUAAAUGUUAAUUUAAA